GAUGAACGCUGGCGGCGUGCCUAAUACAUGCAAGUAGAACGCUGAAGCUUGGUGCUUGCACCGAGCGGAUGAGUUGCGAACGGGUGAGUAACGCGUAGGUAACCUGCCUCUUAGCGGGGGAUAACUAUUGGAAACGAUAGCUAAUACCGCAUAAAAGUCGACAUUGCAUGAUGUUGACUUGAAAGGUGCAACUGCAUCACUAAGAGAUGGACCUGCGUUGUAUUAGCUAGUUGGUGAGGUAACGGCUCACCAAGGCGACGAUACAUAGCCGACCUGAGAGGGUGAUCGGCCACACUGGGACUGAGACACGGCCCAGACUCCUACGGGAGGCAGCAGUAGGGAAUCUUCGGCAAUGGACGGAAGUCUGACCGAGCAACGCCGCGUGAGUGAAGAAGGUUUUCGGAUCGUAAAGCUCUGUUGUAAGAGAAGAACGAGUGUGAGAGUGGAAAGUUCACACUGUGACGGUAACUACCAGAAA
rnacentral:rRNA from 1 species